CUCACACUCCUGGCCAUGGGACUGGAGAGAGGGCAAAGACUGGCCAUAGGGGUCCCUCAGAGGCUACUUGGGGACCAGUUCUACAAAGAAGCCAUAGAGCACUGCCGCAGCUACAACUCCCGGCUAUGUGCUGAACGUAGUGUCCGUCUUCCUUUCCUUGACUCGCAGACUGGUGUAGCUCAGAAUAAUUGUUAUAUUUGGAUGGAAAAGAGGCAUCGGGGACCAGGACUAGCCCCAGGUCAGCUCUAUACAUAUCCUGCUCGUUGCUGGCGCAAAAAGAGACGUUUGCAUCCUCCUGAAGACUCCAGGCUGAAGUUGUUGGAGAUUAAACCUGAAGUUGACCUGCCUCUGAAAAAAGAUGGCUUCACAUCAGAGGGAACCACCCUGGAAGCCUUAUUACGUGGAGAAGGACUUGAAAAGAAGAUAGAUGCUAAAGAGGAGGACACUCUACAAGAAAUCCAGAGGGUUUUGGAAAAUGAUGAAAAUGCAGAUGAAGUGAAUGAGGAGGAAGAGAUAGAAGAAGAUAUUCCGAAACGAAAGAACAGGCCCAGAGGACGGGCUAGAGGGUCUGGAGGUGGUAGGCGAAGGAAUGACAUGUCUUCUAUGGAUGAUCAUGAUAAACCUUAUGUUUGUGACAUUUGUGGCAAGCGCUAUAAGAACAGACCAGGAUUAAGCUACCAUUAUGCUCACACUCACCUUGCAAGUGAGGAGGGGGAUGAUGCUCGGGAGCAGGAGACACGCUCCCCACCUGUCCACAGAAAUGAAAAUCACAAACCCCAGAAAGGACCAGAUGGGGCAAUCAUUUCCAAUAACUACUGUGACUUCUGCCUUGGAGGAUCUAAUAUGAAUAAAAAAAGUGGCCGACCAGAGGAACUUGUUUCAUGUUCAGACUGUGGGCGCUCUGCUCAUUUGGGAAGAGAAAGCAGGAAGGAGGAAGCGGCGGCAGCACACACUACGGAGGACUUGUUCGGUUCCACAUCUGAAAGCGACACCUCAACUUUUCAUGGCUUUGACGAGGAUGAUUCAGAAGAGCCUCUCUCAAACCAGAGCAGCAACUCCCCCUCUGCAAACAAAAAGAGUAGCUGCUAAAAUAACUAAUAACACACAAACUCUAUGAGUGACUUCCUGCCCUCUUUUGCUACCUUUAUUCUUGUUGUUGUUGUUGUUGUUGUUGCCUUUUUUAAAAAAGAAAAAGACCCAUUUUCACCUGUGGGCAUGUACACUGAAAGCACAACAGUCUAAAACCUUUUUAAAAAUUCUUUGAAAAAAAUUGGUGAUGAUUUUAUUUUUCAUUAUUAAAUUGUUCCCCCCACCCUUUUCUUUCUCUUUGUGAGCCUGAAAUGUGGAUGGCCUUUUAAAAAAUGCAUAGAUAAAUAAACCAACAGAAGAGAACUAAUUUUCUCAUUUUUAAAAAUAUAUAUCAGCUAGAUACAAAAACAAUACACAUGGGUCGGAAUAUCAGAAACCCAUCUCAAAUAGUGUUUUUAAAUAUUUAUUUAUAUAUUCUAUAUAUUAUUAGAAAAAGACUUUUGAGAUUAAGAGGAAAAAACCAGUGAAGUCUACUUGAUAAUCUAAACAUACAAAAAGAGAAACUGCUAUGGGAUCAUUGUUCCAGACGAACAGGAAACCCUUGCCGGUGUGACUUUUGCACUGUGAAAAGUUUGCAUUUACUGUAGCACACUGGAGUUUGUGACUCCCCACUUCGUAUUCCUGCUGCCCUCACCUUUAACAGUCUGAAAAAGGCAAGGUAAACCAACGAAGACUAUUAUACUGAGGAAUUUCCUGCCUCCUUCCUUGGGACACAUUUGUUCUCCUUAAAGAAUGCCUCAUCUCUCCCACUCUGGCAUCUAUUUACUAGGCGCAGCUUUUAUUUUUUCUCUUUUCCCCUCACUUCUUCUGCAUUGGAAUUUCCAAGCACAGGGAUGGACUAUAACCAUCAAGUCACAAUUUCUGCAAGAUGAAACAAAGGAAGUGAAUUUUGGAAGAAAUUAAAAGGAAAAAAAUACCUCACGUUUCUUUUACUUAACUUUUUAAAUUCAAAACUAAACCCAUUUAGUCUUAUUUUUGAUAGCUCUCCUUGAAAUAAACCAAAGCAAUACUCACUAUUCUACAAUGGCAAUUGAGAAGAUAGAAACCCUCCCUCACAUGCUAUUCUAGCAGCACGAAGUUGAGCAGCAGGAUUUAAAAGUUAGUGGUCCUGCGCUCACUUGGAUUCCGAAUCCAUCACCUUUCAAGAAAACCGUUGAAGAAGCCAACCAAGAGUAGCCAGGAUGCUUUGAUCUCCCUCUCGUUGCCUGAUCCUUUCCUAGCUGUGUCUCAUCCAGCACAGGGGCCUGGACUGUGGAACGCCUGCUGGCACUUGCUCAGAGAAGUCUUGGGGAUUCCCUAAGCUUGUGCAAUACAAAGAAAACCUUUUACUUUUAUUUUUAAUCCCUUUCUUUUAAGUGGUGUGUGUGUGUGUGUGUGUGUGUGUGUGUGUGUGUCUAUACACACAUAUAUAGCCCAGGUCAAACUGGAACUGCUCUACCACAUAAAGGUGACUGAAAACGACAAACAAACAAACCUUGACAAAAAUAGACAAGUUAUUUUAUUUAUUUCAAUAUUUAAGAGAGAAAAGUAGGACUGAUGUUGCACAGUAUUUUUGUUUAAAAUGCAUUUUACUUCAAAAUUUAAAUUCACAAUUUUUGUGAAGAGGUGACUUUUUCAAAAGUGCUUAAUGUAAGAUAAAGACUAUUUACUUUCAGGAUAAAUCUUUUUAAGUUAUGAAAAUCAAGAUAAACUCUGCUCUCUCUUACUUUAAAGAUGCCAUUCGUACACAUGCUGGGUGUUUUUAUUUUUUCAAAAGUGGAUGUGGUAAGUGAGAAAUUGUUCUGGCUUAUUUUCCUGAAUGUCUGCUAAUGCAAAAUAUGUUGAAAAGAACAUGCUGGAUUCUGGAUUAUUGUAUAAGGACUACAGAACUACAGUCUGCCAGGAUCACAGACUAACAGAAAGUUUAGGCAUUGCCAGUUCUCAGCAAUAAUGCCAUUAAAACUAGGUGCUUUACAAAGGAAAGAUAUUCUAUUAUUUGAAAAGUUGUCUUCUUGAGUGAAAAUAUAUACUCAUGCUAGCAGCUGCUUGCAAGAAAGAUUCAACAAAAACCGAAAACAUCUCAAAAUCAAGUGAUCAGGAUAAUAAAGGGUGGUAAAUGUAUAUCUCUAAAAUUAACCUCCUCCACCCCCAAGAUGAGCAGUUGGAUGCAGCCAUAGGUCAUAGUUGUUCUCUGUAUUAUAAUUUCUUAGGACCAACAUGUGACAAUUGGUACUUGCACAAUAACUUACAAAAGGGGAUUCUGAGAGUGCCUACCUCUGGAAGAGUUGCACUGAAAUGGUGUAUUCUAAGAACUUGCUAGGAGGGAUGUCAUGAGUAAGAUGUUAGAUUCCUAUGAAUCUAGAAUUGUUUGUGAUAAAGUUAAUUGGGUUACCUAUUCUGAUGUAACUUUUCAAUGUGUAUGUGCUCACAAAAUGAUGUCAAGAAGUCUACUGUGUGAGUGGACGGCAAUGCCUUGGAAUUGUACCACGCAGCGUAUUUGUUUGGAAAUAAAGGCCACUGAGUACAAUGGGACUUACUGCCUAGCAAGCAUGCACAGGAAUGCAGCCUUAGGUCAACAUGCAGUUUGGUUCUGAGUAAUGUUAAUUGAAGUUGGUGCAAUGCCAAUCUCUGAUACUCAAUCUCAAAAAUGAAGCCUUUUCUUUUGAAAUUAUGGGAGCAGUCCUCUGAGCAUUGCUGUUGCACACUCACAUGUUUCCAUUGGGCUAGCUUAGGAGUCCCAGAGAAGUCAAGCUACAUUGAAAUACAUUAAAGCUGCACAACAGUGGGGUAAAUUUUGCGUGCCCAGUUGCUCUCUAGGAAAGUAUUGUGUAGGAGAACUAUGCAGAUUCCAGCCCAGAAUAAGCACCCUAUAUGCUUAACUCAGUAGGUCAAAGCAGCAUCCUAGAAUCAUAUAGAUCUUAGCUGGAGAGCCACACACUAAACCUAAUCGAAGAAACCUUGUUGGGGCCACCUGGAUUAGAUACAGACCUUUAGCAAACUUACUUCAAUAUAUUUCCUUGGAAAGCUGCAGACUAUGGUUAUACUGCCAUUAAAAAAAAGUCCCUGUUAAAUACAAAAUGCACAUCCAUAUUGAAAAGCUGCAAUGUACUAAUUUGUGUUGUGUUCAUAUGAAAUCUUUUUCAAGGCACUUCAUGUAUAGUUUCUCUGUACAUAUUCAUUUACCCCCUAAGAAAUUUAAAGAAAAAAAUUGUGAAACUGCAAUUACUGUACAUAGUUUUUAAAGACCCUCAUUGUUUACAAUGCUGUCCUCCAAGCUAAAAAUAAAACUUCCUUCUCUA